CACAGCCCGGUGUUCCCAGCAGCGAGCGUGGGAUUGCAUAGGGCUAGGCUUUCAUUUUGUAAACCCUCCUCGACUGCAGUUGGGCUGUUUUGAAGAGAUCUCUGUGACAGAACGACAGCCAGAGAUAUUGCUACAUCUUGCACGUGUGGGCUCCAUGGCCCCCGAGAAACCACAGUGUCCCGUGGGAACACUUGCCGCAGCACCUGGGGACCACGAAGAUGGAGACAGGACCCGUCUCCAGGGAGCAGAGAAAUGCAGGCCGGUCCCCCAGCCCCUCCCAGGGCCCAUCUGCGCUGAGUGACAAUCUCUUCCUAAUGAGAAGCAAUAAAGGCUAAUUAUCCACA